rnacentral:rRNA from 1 species
UACGAAGGGGGCUAGCGUUGCUCGGAAUGACUGGGCGUAAAGGGCGCGUAGGCGGCUUGUAUAGUCGGAUGUGAAAUCCCCAGGCUUAACCUGGGAACUGCAUCCGAUACUGGAUGGCUUGAAUCCGGGAGAGGGAUGCAGAAUUCCAGGUGUAGCGGUGAAAUGCGUAGAUAUCUGGAGGAAUACCGGUGGCGAAGGCGGGUCUCUGGGCAACAACUGACGCUGAGGAGCGAAAGCGUGGGGAGCGAACAGG